GACGAACGCUGGCGGCGUGCUUAACACAUGCAAGUCGAACGGAAAGGCCCUGCUUUUGUGGGGUGCUCGAGUGGCGAACGGGUGAGUAACAAGUGAGUAACCUGCCCUUGACUUUGGGAUAACUUCAGGAAACUGGGGCUAAUACCGGAUAGGAGCUCCUGCUGCAUGGUGGGUGUUGGAAAGUUUCGGCGGUUGGGGAUGGACUCGCGGCUUAUCAGCUUGUUGGUGGGGUAGUGGCUUACCAAGGCUUUGACGGGUAGCCGGCCUGAGAGGGUGACCGGCCACAUUGGGACUGAGAUACGGCCCAGACUCCUACGGGAGGCAGCAGUGGGGAAUAUUGCACAAUGAGCGGAAGCCUGAUGCAGCAACGCAGCGUGCGGGAUAACGGACUUCGGGUUGUAAACCGCUUUCGCCUGUGACGAAGCGUGAGUGACGGUAAUGGGUAAAGAAGCACCGGCUAACUACGUG
rnacentral:rRNA from 1 species